rnacentral:rRNA from 1 species
UACGUAGGGUCCGAGCGUUGUCCGGAAUUACUGGGCGUAAAGAGCUCGUAGGUGGUUUGUCGCGUUGUCCGUGAAAACUCACAGCUCAACUGUGGGCGUGCGGGCGAUACGGGCAGACUGGAGUACUGCAGGGGAGACUGGAAUUCCUGGUGUAGCGGUGGAAUGCGCAGAUAUCAGGAGGAACACCGGUGGCGAAGGCGGAUCUCUGGGCCUUACCUGACGCUGAGGCGCGAAAGCUAGGGGAGCAAACAGG